UACGGAGGAUGCAAGCGUUAUCCGGAUUUAUUGGGUUUAAAGGGUGCGCAGGUUGUUUGAUAAGUCAGUGGUGAAAGUCUGUCGCUUAACGGUAGGAUUGCCAUUGAUACUGUUGGACUUGAAUAUGGAUGAGGUAGGCGGAAUGUGUAGUGUAGCGGUGAAAUGCAUAGAUAUUACACAGAACGCCGAUUGCGAAGGCAGCUUACUAAUCCAUCAUUGACGCUGAGGCACGAAAGCGUGGGGAUCAAACAGGA
rnacentral:rRNA from 1 species